GUGGGGAAUCUUCCACAAUGGACGAAAGUCUGAUGGAGCAACGCCGCGUGAGUGAAGAAGGGUUUCGGCUCGUAAAGCUCUGUUGUCGGGGACGAAUGUGCAGUAUUUGAAUAAAGUACUGCAAUGACGGUACCUGACGAGGAAGCCACGGCUAACUACGUGCCAGCAGCCGCGGUAAUACGUAGGUGGCAAGCGUUGUCCGGAAUUAUUGGGCGUAAAUGGAGCGCAGGCGGGAAGGUAAGUCGGUCUUAAAAGUGCGGGGCUCAACACCGUGAUGGGAUCGAAACUAUCUUUCUUGAGUGCAGGAGAGGAAAGUGGAAUUCCUAGUGUAGCGGUGAAAUGCGUAGAUAUUAGGAGGAACACCAGUGGCGAAGGCGACUUUCUGGACUGUAACUGACGCUGAGGCUCGAAAGCCAGGGGAGCGAACGGGAUUAGAAACCCGGGUAGUCC
rnacentral:rRNA from 1 species